AGGGUUGAGGUUUGAGGGUUAGCUGAAGGUUCCGGGGGUGAGGGUUGAGGUUUGAGGGUUAGCUGAAGGUUCCGGGGGUGAGGGUUGAGGUUUGAGUGUUAGCUGAAGGUUCCGGGGGUGAGGGUUGAGUGUUAAAUGAAGGUUCCGGGGGUGAGGCUUGAGGUUUGAGUGUUAGCUGAAGGUUCCGGGGGUGAGGGUUGAGUGUUAAAUGAAGGUUCCGG